rnacentral:rRNA from 1 species
AGUCUGCAACUCGAGUGCAUGAAGCUGGAAUCGCUAGUAAUCGCGGAUCAGAAUGCCGCGGUGAAUACGUUCCCGGGUCUUGUACACACCGCCCGUCACACCAUGGGAGUCGGGAAUGCCCGAAGCCGGUGGCCCAAUCUUUAAGAAGGGAGCCGUCGAAGGCAGGCCGGAUGACUGGGGUGAAGUCGUAACAAGGUAGC